UCUCCCGUGAGGGAGCAGUCUCGUGUGAUACUUAUAACACACAACGAGGGUUGCGUUCGUUUCCCCACUUAAGGGAACAGCUCAAGCCACGAACUGACGACGGCCAUGCAUCACCUGUUAUACACCCUCGAAGGCUACCUAAGUUUCCUAAGGUAUGCAGUAUAAUUUCUAGCCUUGGUAAGGUUCCUCGCUUGGCGACGAAUUAAGCCACGCGCUCCACCGCUUGUGCGAGCCCCCGUCUAUUCCUUUGAGUUUUAAUCUUGCGAUCGUACUACCCAGGCGGUCCGCUUAAUGCGUUAGCUUCGUCUCAGAGAGGGUCGAUUCUCCCCAAAACCAGCGGACAACGUUUAGGGCGUGGACUAC
rnacentral:misc_RNA from 1 species